rnacentral:rRNA from 1 species
CAGUAGCCGCGGGAAAACGAAGGGGGCUAGCGUUGCUCGGAAUUACUGGGCGUAAAGGGAGCGUAGGCGGACUGUUUAGUCAGAGGUGAAAGCCCAGGGCUCAACCUUGGAAUUGCCUUUGAUACUGGCAGUCUUGAGUACGGAAGAGGUAUGUGGAACUCCGAGUGUAGAGGUGAAAUUCGUAGAUAUUCGGAAGAACACCAGUGGCGAAGGCGACAUACUGGUCCGUUACUGACGCUGAGGCUCGAAAGCGUGGGGAGCAAACAGGAUUAGAUACCCCGGUAGUCCCUGUCUCUUAUAC